UCAGAUAGCCGGAUGGCUGCCUUCGUCCAUUUUUGUGGGUGGGGGAGGAAAGUCCGGGCUCCACGGAGACAUGGUGCCGGGUAACGCCCGGCGGGGGUGACCCUAGGGAAAGUGCCACAGAGAGUAGACCGCCGGUGCGCAGUUGCCUGCCGGCAAGGGUGAAAGGGUGCGGUAAGAGCGCACCGCGCCGCCGGUAACGGCGGUGGCAUGGUAAACCCCACCAGGAGCAAGACCAAGUAGGAGUGGCGCGGGCUGAUUAUGUCGGUUCAGGUCGGGUUUCCGAGGCCGCUACUCGGGUCGGUCGCGCGAGGCGCUCGGUGACGGGCGUCCCAGAUGAAUGGCCAUCCCCCGCUCCGGCGGGGACAGAACCCGGCUUAUAGGCUAUCUGCCGCC
rnacentral:RNase_P_RNA from 1 species